UUUUAUUUUGGUUCUUGUGGUCCGAUCCAAAAAAAAAAAAAAAAGUGUUCGUGUGUGCUUAUUGCGGCCCGAUGAUCAGUUAUUUCCGCAGUUUGCGGGUACGAUGAUCAGAAAAGAAAGAGGACCAUCGUGGUCUCUAUUUGUGUUGGUAUGUGAGAACCAAACCAUGAGAAAGGAGAAUGCGAUAGCGUGACAGAGAACUGAGACAAAUUUAAUGAAUGAGGAAGAAGGAAGACGAAGGCAGCAUCUUGCUGCUGCUGCCGAGGUUCUGAUGAUGCAGGGGAGGCAACGCCGCUGCAGGGGACGGCGAUAGGAGAUCUGCCGGCGCCGGUGGUGGUCGUGGGUGGUCAUUAAGCUUGGGACAUCACCAAUUCUCACCCACAUCUUCCACUUUGACAGAAAUCAAAGGUAAUCCUUAACCCUAGUUCAAAUUGAUGAAUGUAGGUAUGAAAUUAAGAAAUACGUGUCGGAAUUGGGUAUGGAUUAUUGGAAUGCUUAUGAUAAUGAAUUCAAAAGACACUAAAGAUCAAUUAUAUGUUGAAGAUGGCUUGAAUGCUAUUGGAAACUCUUAGAUCGAUGUUGAAAUUAGGUAUUUAUAAUUGAGUUGCUUCACAUGAUGAGUUCAAAAAGAUUAAAAGAACCAAGUAUAUGUGCUAGAUGAAUUGGGAACUUGUAUAUGCAAAUUGAUUAAAGUCAAGAUUAGUAAUAUACACUUUAUGUUGAGUUUAUGCUCAUCAAAAUAUUGAUCUAAAAUAGAAAAUUAGCUUAAGUUUAUAACUUUUAAUUUUUGAGUAGUUACAAACUUGGUUUGGAAUUAGACUGAUAUGUAAUUUUUGAUAUGCUUAUGCAAGAAAUGAUGGAGUAUGUGUAAUGGAAAUUGAAUGAUAUGGAAUGAAAUAGGGAAGGUAUUUAUAUUAUGAUUCAAAACAUUUUGGUAAGAAUCAUAUGGAAAAUAACAAGCUUUAUAACAGUUUCUAUUUUUGGAAACUUUAACGGAUCAAAAUGCCAAAAAUGGCAUAAAUGAUGCAAAUAAGAGAUGUUUUGGCGUGUAAUCAUUGGUAUUGACUUAUAAUCAUGUUAUGACUUGAAAAACACACAAAAUUCAUCAUAAAACUCAAGAAAAUCACAUUUAGGCAAAGUAGGAUGCUUAAAUAAGAAAAAUGUCAAAAAGUGUCGAAAUGAAAGUUGGUCCAAAUGAUGUGUUGGACUUAGUGACAAGUCUAAAAAACUAAAAGAAUGUGUUUAAGCUAAAGUAACAACUAUUAAAGCACUAAAAAGCAAGAAAAUGGCUAAUUGGACAAAAACGGAAAAAAUGUCCAAAAAUGAAUAUUAUGCUCUUACGAAGCACAUGUAAUUACUGAAAUGGAUAUGAGUCAUGAGAUGAUAUGGAAAUGAAUAGAGUGUAAUAGUCACGUUAUAGUUGCAAGAUUCAAGAAAAGUAUGAAAAUAAUGUAAUACAGUUAAAUAGCCGAAAUAUGGAAAAAUGCUUAAAAUGGCUUUAGAACUUUAUGAGACUUAUUUGGCUAUUGAAAUAUGUUUGGAAUAAUGUUAGAAUGACUAGAUUGACAACCAAUACAUAUUUAUAAGAUGUGAAGCAAUUUGCGAAAAUAAAGUAAGUUGCUAUUAAUAAAAAAUGAGAUUGAAAUGACAUGUGAUACUUGGAAACCGUUAGAAUGUGAUUAAUUUAGUACUAUGAUGAGAUUAAAGUAUAUGAUGUUUCGUAAUAGUUUGAGUAUGUCCUGAUGUUUUAUUUUGGGUUGAUUUUUAUAUCCGUUUUGCUUAAAGGUCAUGCUGAAAUUUCAAUAGAAGUGUUAGAAUAUUUUUGGACAAUGGACCUUAUUGACUCUGCUUUUUUCACCAUUUGCUUGAUCUGCACAAACGCUUCUUUAAGAUACUACAAGUUCAAGUGUGCGUAGCAAUUCAAGGACUCUUUUGACGAGAGCUUGUGACUCUAUUUCAAAGCAUCUCAUCCAAGAUUACAUUAUUGAUAAUGCAAUCUUUGGUGCCGAGCAUUUUCAAAGAAGUUUUUCGUAGAAGUUUCGGUUCAUUGCAACAGUAUACAUCUACAAUAUGGCAAGUAGCAUAUGGGAACACGACACGUGUGUUGGAUAAGUGCUUGAAUACAUCAUAAAGAACUUCACAUGAAAGUCUUCGACACUUCUAUUAUGGUAUUAUUAAGUUGUAUAUAGAUGAAUAUUUAUACAAACCAACAACCAAAUAUAUUCAAAUUUUGUAAGAUUACACACUAGAAUCGGAGGACCUAAAACGUUACCUAUUACUAGUACCACACAAUGAUAUUUGAAAUGGUAUAUUCAUAAGAUUUAUGGUUCUGGGCAUCAGGCAUGCAUACUAUGGUGUCGCUGAUUUAAACAAUAACCAAAAUGUUAUCUUCCCAUCACUACUAUUCGACACAAAUUUCUUGGAAAAGCACCCAAAAAGUUCAUCUAGUUUGAACAGAGAAUAAUAUAAGCAUGUGUACUAUCUUCCAAUGUAAAGUGUCUUGACAAAUCGAAUGAACCUCUGCUCAAAGAC
rnacentral:lncRNA from 1 species